rnacentral:rRNA from 1 species
GACGAACGCUGGCGGCGUGCUUAACACAUGCAAGUCGAACGGAAAGGCCCUGCUUUUGUGGGGUGCUCGAGUGGCGAACGGGUGAGUAACACGUGAGUAACCUGCCCUUGACUUUGGGAUAACUUCAGGAAACUGGGGCUAAUACCGGAUAGGAGCUCCUGCUGCAUGGUGGGGGUUGGAAAGUUUCGGCGGUUGGGGAUGGACUCGCGGCUUAUCAGCUUGUUGGUGGGGUAGUGGCUUACCAAGGCUUUGACGGGUAGCCGGCCUGAGAGGGUGACCGGCCACAUUGGGACUGAGAUACGGCCCAGACUCCUACGGGAGGCAGCAGUGGGGAAUCUUCCGCAAUGGGCGAAAGCCUGACGGAGCAACGCCGCGUGAGUGAUGAAGGUCUUCGGAUCGUAAAACUCUGUUAUUAGGGAAGAACAUAUGUGUAAGUAACUGUGCACAUCUUGACGGUACCUAAUCAGAAAGCCACGGCUAACUACGUG